rnacentral:rRNA from 1 species
UACGUAGGUGGCAAGCGUUAUCCGGAAUUAUUGGGCGUAAAGCGCGCGCAGGCGGUUUCUUAAGUCUGAUGUGAAAGCCCACGGCUCAACCGUGGAGGGUCAUUGGAAACUGGGGAACUUGAGUGCAGAAGAGAAAAGCGGAAUUCCACGUGUAGCGGUGAAAUGCGUAGAGAUGUGGAGGAACACCAGUGGCGAAGGCGGCUUCUUGGGCCGUUUCUGACGCUGAGGCGCGAAAGCCAGGGGAGCGAACGGG